rnacentral:lncRNA from 1 species
UAUGAAUCUCGUAAAUAACCAAAGCAUAGAAGACACAUGUGGAAUCUUCACUGUUAUCCAUAUAACAUCUGACUUCCUCUUAUCUGACCACUUCGCACUUGAUUUCAAGUCUCAUGUCCACAAUGACCACAUCCAUACAACUGCCGUCCACACCGAUCACAUCCACACAUCCUCUGUCUGCAUCACGAGAGCUCGAUGUCGUCGUCCUCUCCACAUUGGAGCUAGGACCUGCUCACCAUCGUUGUCCCUACCUCUCGUCCAGCUUCUUCCUCCCCCAAGACAUAUGAAUCUCGUAAAUAACCAGAGCAU